CCAAUAGCGUAUAUUAAAGUUGUUGCAGUUAAAAAGCUCGUAGUUGAAUUUCGGGAUCAAGGAAUCGGUCAUGCCUUGGUAUGCACUGGUUUCAUUGAUUCUCACCUUCUAAAGAACCAUAAUGUCAUUUAUUUGAUGUUAUGGGGAAUUAGGACUGUUACCUUGAAAAAAUUAGAGUGUUUAAAGCAGGCUUACGCUUGAAUACAUUAGCAUGGAAUAAUGAAAUAGGACGUUCGAUCCUAUUUUGUUGGUUUCUAGGAUUGACGUAAUGAUUAAUAGGGAUAGUUGGGGGCAUUAGUAUUCAAUUGUCAGAGGUGAAAUUCUUGGAUUUAUUGAAGACUAACUACUGCGAAAGCAUUUGCCAAGGAUGUUUUCAUUAAUCAAGAACGAAAGUUAGGGGAUCGAAGACGAUCAGAUACCGUCGUAGUCUUAACCAUAAACUAUGCCGACUAGGGAUCGGAUGAUGUUAAUUUUUUAAUGACUCAUUCGGCGCCUUACG
rnacentral:rRNA from 1 species